rnacentral:rRNA from 1 species
CCUACGGGAGGCAGCAGUGGGGAAUUUUGGACAAUGGGGGCAACCCUGAUCCAGCCAUUCCGCGUGAGUGAAGAAGGCCUUCGGGUUGUAAAGCUCUUUCGCAAGGGAAGAAAACUUAUGAUCGAAUAAAUCAUGAGGUUGACGGUACCUUGAUAAGAAGCACCGGCUAACUACGUGCCAGCAGCCGCGGUAAUACGUAGGGUGCGAGCGUUAAUCGGAAUUACUGGGCGUAAAGCGUGCGCAGGCGGUUUUGUAAGUCGGAUGUGAAAUCCCCGGGCUCAACCUGGGAACUGCGUUCGAAACUGCAAGGCUAGAGUGUGUCAGAGGGGGGUAGAAUUCCACGUGUAGCAGUGAAAUGCGUAGAGAUGUGGAGGAAUACCAAUGGCGAAGGCAGCCCCCUGGGAUAACACUGACGCUCAUGCACGAAAGCGUGGGGAGCAAACAGGAUUAGAUACCCUGGUAGUCCACGCCCUAAACGAUGUCAACUAGUUGUUGGUAGAGUAAAAUCUAUGAGUAACGUAGCUAACGCGUGAAGUUGACCGCCUGGGGGAGGUACGGUCGGCGAAGAGUUAAACGUUACAAUAGUUAGUUAGUAGGCGAGGCGACGACGAGGGAGGAGG